rnacentral:misc_RNA from 1 species
GCUAAAUGUACAUAUGGAGAUACAUAGAUAUAUAGAGAUCGUUAGAUAUUGUAAAUAAGUUGGCAAUUGUUUAGUUUGUUUUUCUGGCUGUAUUAUUUAGAUAUUUACAUCCUAUUAUAUUUACAUAGUUCUGCCUUUUGGCUGCUUUUCAGAGUUGGGCAGCUCCACAUAAAAAUAACCUUUCAGUCUUCCUUCAUCAUGAUCUGGUACAGCUUGCAUUUGCUGCUUUCUAGAGUUGCUGAUGCAGUGAAUGACAAUAGGUGAUUUCUAU